AUUGAACGCUGGCGGCAUGCCUUACACAUGCAAGUCGAACGGUAACGGGCCUUCGGGUGCCGACGAGUGGCGAACGGGUGAGUAAUGCAUCGGAACGUACCUUUCAGUGGGGGAUAACGUAGCGAAAGUUACGCUAAUACCGCAUCUUCUGUGAGCAGGAAAGCAGGGGAUCGCAAGACGUUGCGCUGAUUGAGCGGCCGAUGUCAGAUUAGCUAGUUGGUGAGGUAAAGGCUCACCAAGGCGACGGUCUGUAGCGGGUCUGUGAGGAUGAUCCACCACACUGGGUCGGAGACACGGCCCAGACUCCGACAGGAGGCAGAAGUGAGGAAUUUUGGACAAUGGGGGCAACCCUGAUCCAGCCAUGCCUCGUGAGUGAAGAAGGCCUUCGGGUUGUAAACUGCUUUUGUACGGAACGAAACGGUCCUGGUUAAUACCCGGGGCUAAUGACGGUACCGUAAAAAUAAGCACCGACUCACUACGUGCCAGCCGCCGCUGUAAGAC
rnacentral:rRNA from 1 species